CAACUCAGAGGGAGGGAAGCAACCUUGAGUCAGCUCCCAGGCAGUAAUGAGUGUUCAAGGGAGAUAUAACUCUAAGGAAAAGGAUUGAGGUCAUGGAAUUAGAAGAAACAGAUGGAAGAAUCAUUUGAACCAUAUCCAGGUCUUUUGAAAAUGAUGAGACAGAAGAGAAAGAGAAAAUUGCUUCAGACAGUUUUGCUGAGAAAUUUGUCUCAGAUAAAUUUUGGAGUAAGGUCAGAGACCUAAGAUAAGAAAACCCCUAGGCAGAGGUGGGAAAAAAUAGAAAAAAGAAAACGAAAAGAGCAAAUACAUUCUUCCUUCCUAUCUUCCACUUGCCAGAGUAGCUUUACUAAGAUGCUGCCUGAUCAUUUCUCUCCAGACACUUUUGCCAAUGAUAUUAAUACUAUAAAGGAGCAUUUCUGGACUUGAUUCAUUAAUGAUUAGAAAGCUCGUAACAGAUUAGAUGACCAGGCUACAGUCUCACCUGCCAGGCAGUGCAGCUGCAGAUCUUGGCUGACCAUCAUGUCAGCACCUACUAUGUGCCAGUCACUGUGCCAGGAGUUGGAAAUAUGAGGAAGACCGUAAUUCUCAUAAUGAGAAUACAAGGAAGACCAUCUCUCAAGAAAGGAACAUCAUAAAACAUGUUUACUGUCAAGUCCUUGUCAUUAUCAAAAAUAUCUCCGGAUUGAUGUCAUUCUGAGAAAAGUGAUUUCAUACUGAAAAAAAAUUCUACAAAAAUAGUAAAACUCUUCUUCUCAAUUUUCAGAACUUGGAUGGGGUUGGGGGCAGGUGCUUUCAUCUAUUUUCAUCUUGUCCUGGUAGAAAUUAUUUGCUUGAUUAACAUUUUGGUGGGGAAGUUCAGUCUCUAAGGCUACAGAUGAGAAGAUCAGUUACUGGAUGGGUUCCUAACUUCAAUGUCAAAUCCAAGAGCCUGAAAAUAAAGUAUGGAAAGAAAGGGAAACAAAGAAAAGUUAUCAGACAAUGUGAAGACAUUUUAUGGAGAGGAAGAAAGAGUGAGUGAGCACAGGAAAAAUCACAAAGCAGUAUAUGAAGAAAAGAAAGAGAUAACAGUUAUUAGUAAGUAAAGAGAUAAUUAAGAGAUAAUCCUUUCAGUGGCAUGAACACCAUAGUUUGUGACAUCACUGGUCAUUAAUGAUUUGUAAGAAGCAGUGUCUCAACUAUGUUUCUGUUACAUUAAUUAUACCCGAAAUAAAAUAUUUGCACA
rnacentral:lncRNA from 1 species